rnacentral:rRNA from 1 species
AAACCGGAGCUAAUACCGGAUAAUAUUUUGAACCGCAUGGUUCAAAAGUGAAAGACGGUCUUGCUGUCACUUAUAGAUGGAUUCGCGCUGCAUUAGCUAGUUGGUAAGGUAACGGCUUACCAAGGCAACGAUGCAUAGCCGACCUGAGAGGGUGAUCGGCCACACUGGAACUGAGACACGGUCCAG